rnacentral:rRNA from 1 species
UGGCUCAGAGCGAACGUUAGCGGCAGGCUUAACACAUGCAAGUCGAGCGAGAAAGGGGCUUCGGCUCCGAGUAAAGCGGCGGACGGGUGCGUAACACGUGGAUAAUCUGCCUCGUGGCGGGGGACAACAGUCCGAAAGGACUGCUAAUACCGCAUGUCAGGUCGGAAACUCCGGUUUCUGACGAAAAAGAGGGCGUCCGCAAGGAGCUCUCACCACGAGAUGAGUCCGCGUCCCAUCAGCUAGUUGGCGGUGUAAUGGACCACCAAGGCUUAGACGGGUAGCUGGUCUGAGAGGAUGACCAGCCACACUGGGACUGAGACACGGCCCAGACUCCUACGGGAGGCAGCAGUGGGGAAUAUUGGACAAUGGGCGAAAGCCUGAUCCAGCCAUGCCGCGUGAGUGAUGAAGGCC